rnacentral:lncRNA from 1 species
UCCUAACGGUUCCACUUUUCCUAUAAAUACCCCCCCCCUUUUGUGUAAAAACCCACAAAUCAGAUCUAAAUGCUCUAAGUUGAUGCUUUUGCUUCAUACCUGAGCUAUUGGAUCUUGAUUAGCACUCGGGGACCCUCCCCUAUGGUGCCGUUGAUAUUCCGUGACCUCUCGCAUUUACCCGGUUAUUUCACAAGAACAACAAAGCAACCUCAGGUGAGUACAUAG